UCGCGGCUUAUCACCGGCAGUCCCCUUAGAGUGCCCAACUGAAUGAUGGCAACUAAGGGCGAGGGUUGCGCUCGUUGCGGGACUUAACCCAACAUCUCACGACACGAGCUGACGACAGCCAUGCAGCACCUCGACUUCCGUCCCUUGCGGGAAUUGCCCUGUUUCCAAAGCCGUUCAAAAGCCGUUCGAGCCCAGGUAAGGUUCUUCGCGUUGCGUCGAAUUAAACCACAUGCUCCACCGCUUGUGCGGGCCCCCGUCAAUUCCUUUGAGUUUCACCGUUGCCGGCGUACUCCCCAGGUGGAUUACUUAUCGCUUUCGCUAAGCCGCGUACUGUAUAUCGCACACAGCGAGUAAUCAACGUUUACAGUGUGGACUAC
rnacentral:misc_RNA from 1 species